rnacentral:rRNA from 1 species
UACGUAGGGUCCGAGCGUUGUCCGGAAUUACUGGGCGUAAAGAGCUCGUAGGUGGUUUGUCGCGUUGUUCGUGAAAACUCACAGCUCAACUGUGGGCGUGCGGGCGAUACGGGCAGACUGGAGUACUGCAGGGGAGACUGGAAUUCCUGGUGUAGCGGUGGAAUGCGCAGAUAUCAGGAGGAACACCGGUGGCGAUGGCGGGUCUCUGGGCAGUAACUGACGCUGAGGAGCGAAAGCGUGGGGAGCGAACAGG